rnacentral:rRNA from 2 species
CGGUAAAACCAGCUCUUCAAGUGUUCAGGACUUUUAUUGAGCUUAAAGCACCCGUAGCGGGCCUCGCAAGUCCCCGGUUUAAAUCCACGUGCUCAACCCGUGGCCGGCUGGGGAUACUACAAGGCUUGGGAGCGGGAGAGGCAGCGGGUACCCAUGGGGUAGCGGUGAAAUGCGAUAAUCCCAUGGGGACCACCGGUGGCGAAAGCGCGCUGCUAGAACGCGUCCGACCGUCAUGGGUGAAAGCCUGGGUAGCGAACGGGAUUAGAUACCCCGGUAGUCCAGGCUGUAAACGAUGCCCGUUAAGUGUGGCACUAGCCAAGAGCUAGCGCCGUGCUGCAGCGAAAGCGUUAAACGGGCCGCUUGGGAAGUACGAUCGCAAGGUUGAAACUUAAAGGAAUUGACGGGGGAAUACCACAAGGGGUGAAGCCUGCGGUUUAAUUGGACUCAACGCCGGGAAACUUACCAGGGGCGAUAGCUGAAUGAAGGACAGACUGACGAUCUUUCCUGACUGGCUAAGAGGUAGUGCAUGGCCAUCGCCAGUUCGUGCCGCGAGGUGUCUUGUUAAGUCAAGCAACGAACGAAACCCGUGCCGCUAAUUGCAACCGUUGGCGUUAUGACGCUCCGGGCACAUUAGCGGGAUUGCCGCUGCUAAAGCGGAUGAAAGAACGGGCCACGGUAGGUCAGUAUGCUCCGAAUCCACCUGGGCCACACGCGGGCUGCAAAGGCAGGUACAAUGGGCUGCUACGUCGAGAGACGACGCUAAUCUCGAAAGCCUGUCUCAGUUGGGAUUGUGGGCUGCAACUCGCCCUCAUGAACUUGGAAUCCCUAGUAGUCGCAUGUCAUCAUCAUGCGGCGAAUGUGUCUCUUUCCUUGCA